CCAAAAACAGCAGCAAAUAUACAAAACCCUCAAAUGGAAACAGAACAGAGAGAGGGGGGCUGAGUUACGGAUGAGGAGAGGAGGAGGAAAGCUCGCUGCGCCGCACGCUGGGCUCCACCAUUGCCGCCGCAUCACCGCCAGAACCGCGCGAGGGACAGAGGGCAGCUCACCGCGUCGCGCCGCCUCCGCAGUCCAUGCCGGCCUGGAACCACCGCUGACGCGUCCUGCUGAGUAGCCGUAGAAGCCUUCCUCGCCGAUGCCAUGAACUGCGAACAAAGGAGAGAGAGAGAGGUCGAAACGGAGAGCUAAGCGAGGAAGGGGGUGGUCGUGAGUCGCCGUUGUCGGGGCUUCCGUCAUGUCCUGCCGCUCGCCGACGCCGACCGAUGGAGGAAGUGCAACGCCGCCGCGGAUCCAUUACCGUUGAACUCGAAGGAGGAGGAAGGCCGCCCAGUCACACCGAGCAGGAGAGACAGAGUUGAGGCGAGCUGGGAGUCUGACCACC